rnacentral:rRNA from 1 species
CCUACGGGAGGCAGCAGUGGGGAAUAUUGGGCAAUGGGCGCAAGCCUGACCCAGCAACGCCGCGUGAAGGAAGAAGGCUUUCGGGUUGUAAACUUCUUUUUUCAGGGAAGAGUAGAAGACGGUACCUGACGAUUAAGCCACGGCUAACUACUUGCCAGCAGCCGCGGUAAUACGUAGGUGGCAAGCGUUGUCCGGAUUUACUGGGUGUAAAGGGCGUGUAGCCGGGUUGACAAGUCAGAUGUGAAAUCCUGCGGCUUAACCGCAGAACUGCAUUUGAAACUGGUGAUCUUGAGUACUGGAGAGGCAGACGGAAUUCCUAGUGUAGCGGUGAAAUGCGUAGAUAUUAGGAGGAACACCAGUGGCGAAGGCGGUCUGCUGGAUAGCGACUGACGGUGAGGCGCGAAAGCGUGGGGAGCAAACAGGAUUAGAUACCCCAGUAGUC